GACGAACGCUGGCGGCGUGCUUAACACAUGCAAGUCGAACGGAAAGGCCCUGCUUUUGUGGGGUGCUCGAGUGGCGAACGGGUGAGUAACACGUGAGUAACCUGCCCUUGACUUUGGGAUAACUUCAGGAAACUGGGGCUAAUACCGGAUAGGAGCUCCUGCUGCAUGGUGGGGGUUGGAAAGUUUCGGCGGUUGGGGAUGGACUCGCGGCUUAUCAGCUGGUUGGUGGGGUAGUGGCUUACCAAGGCUUUGACGGGUAGCCGGCCUGAGAGGGUGACCGGCCACAUGGGGACUGAGAGACGGCCCAGACUCCUACGGGAGGCAGCAGUGGGGAAUAUUGCACAAUGGGCGGAAGCCUGAGGCAGCAACGCCGCGUGCGGGAUGACGGCCUUCGGGUUGUAAACCGAUUUCGCCUGUGACGAAGCGUGAGUGACGGUAAUGGGUAAAGAAGCACCGGCUAACUACGU
rnacentral:rRNA from 1 species